CCUGUCAUUACCCCUCGGCUCGCCUCCUUCCGGUCUUCCCGACCUCUCUCGCUCCUUUGGAAGGAGCAACGGUGCCCCUGCUGGACCGUAGAGUUACUCGCAAGCAUGAAUGAGGCAGAGAAAGAACCAACAGAGGGUGAGGACUAGAAAUCAAAACAUGGAGUUCCUUCAUUUGGUUGCAAGGAAAGGAAGGCAGAGUUGAAGAAGAAGAAGAAGAAGAAGAAGACCAUGAGGACCAUCUCCCCAUCGCCAAGUACUAAUGGUGUCAAAAGGUAUCAGAUCGGGUGCUAAAUCUUGCGUCGCAGAAGAACAGGAAUGGCACCAUGGCCCUAUGUGUCUCCCUAAAGCUUUGACUGAUGACAUGGAGCUUCAUGUUCUUCCAUUAUCUAGGAUUUGAAUUAAGAAUGUGAUCCUACUUUAUUUCCCCUCCUUUUUCCCUAAACCCACAACAUUUUGUCCCCCCCUCCCUCAUCAAAUCUUCCACAGUGUUCUGCCGACAAUACUCUCAUCAUCGGGAGUCUUCCAUCCAUUGAUGGCAACUCUCACUUUUGUGUUUCCAUUGAUCAGCUCCUGAAGCCUCAUGAACCUGUGUUUGAUGAUGAAAGAAUCAUCCAUGUUCAGCUGAACAUAAGCCAAAAUACUAAACGAUUGUGCUGAUGGAAGUAGGCAAAAUCAUUUCCAUUUCAUUGUUCA